ensembl:lncRNA LINC02609 long intergenic non-protein coding RNA 2609
GACACGCCGCCCACCGCAGCCCCAGCCUCUCGCGUGGGGCCUCUGCCCGCACACACGCAGCCAGGCACUGUAAGCAUCUUCACUUUUUGUUUUUUGCUGAUGUUGAUUUAGUUGCUAAUUGGUGACAGAAAUUGUCAAAUAGGUGGCAGAUAGCGACUGCGGAAACUUCCGUUGAAGGAGGUGAGAAAAUCCUUUCAAAGAUGAACUGCCGCCUGAAAAGGGAUGGCUCACUAAAUUUCUCCCAGAUAUUUAUUGCUCGUAUUAAAAAGAUAAAUCAGAAAAGAGGAGCGAAGGCAUAAACCAGGCUUCUAAUGUGAGGAAAAACACGGAAUGACAAGUGUGGGAAAGAGCAAGCACUAAAUUACUGUCAGAAAAAUAAACGGAGUAGCACAGUGCUGCUCGGUGAUUUACGGGGGCAAUUAGUCACCACCCCACGGCGCUGCUGAGGACAGCACGGCAGCAGACAAGUCAGGCCCAUGAGGAAGAAGAGGCUUUGCACUGCUCUCCAGACAACUUUUCAAACAACAAGAGAGGAUAUUUGAGCACAUUAGGUUUUGUGUCUUCAUUCUGGGUACCUACUCUUCAUAUUAUUCUACCAACUUAAUACAUAAACAUAUUUUUAGCACA